ACAACAGAGGUGGCAUUUCUACCAAUGACAGAGAGACGGGGAGACAAAGACACCAAAAGAGGCCGACCAAGAACAAAGACAGACAUAAAAGAAGAGACAGAGAGUCACAACUUUACCUCUGGACUGAACUGACCAUAUUUUCUCCCUGAGGUAAUUUUUUGUGGAUUAUCUAGCUACCAUCGGCAGUGAAACCUGACGUGACACACUGGCACUUUCUGAAUUGUUUUUUAUUUAUUUAUUUUAAAGCCACAUGACUGACGUCGCCAAACACUUCACCUUUGGACAUAAAUCCUGGCUACAGAAGACAGUUUCACAUCUGUAAGGACAGCUGUCUGGACAAUGUUUUAACUCUAAUCUGGCAGCCAUCUGCCAAUCUUUUCCAUCUACAUCCAGUCAAACCUGCCUUUUUGUGGAAUCUGAAAGUGAGCAGUAUGGAGGUGCUGAGCGGCCCCUGGGCUGAUCUGGCUCUGCUGCUUCGACAGACCGCCGUACAGACGGACAGAGAGACAGACGGCUUUCUUCCUCUCUGGCUGUUCGGUCUGCUGCUGUUCCUGUCUGUCUGUCUGCUGCUGCUGCAACUUAUCAUCUACCUCAGCUGGAAACUCAGACAGGUUGAAGGGGAUCUGUCGACGCGUCCGCAAAGCAGAAGCGCCAUCUACAGGCCGAUAAACAGAAGUGCACACCUGAGGAGGCGGAGUGUCGGAUAGCACUUGCACACCUGACAGGACAGACACUUCACCAACAGAACAGACAUUCAAACCAUCUGAAAAUGGACACUUUCCAGUCAGCGUGAGCUUACACUAUCUCAACAGAGCACUGUGUCAGUGUAAACACCAGCAGGGACCUGGGAGGGACAUAUCAGGCAAAAUGAAGGUGCCCUAAGAAGAUCUGGGAAAAUUACUUGUCUGUUAUACAUCUUUAAAACACUCAGGGAAAUCUGGACUUUAUCAAGACAACUGUCUCUAACCUCUGAAAAGAUAUUAUGAAGCUAAAGGCAUAUUUUACAGCUCUAUUUAUCCUAUCCUAUUUAUUUAAGCUUGGGACAAGCUGUCACCCUGAAAUUAUUCUUUUUUUGUGAAUUAAAUAUUUCAUUAUUAGACUACCUGACUAUCUUAAAAAUGGUUACUUUUAUGUACAUUAACAUAUAUGACUUCAGUUUUUAUCAGUAAAUAAACCAAUGAAUGAAUGAAUGAAGAAAUAA